rnacentral:rRNA from 1 species
AAGUCGAACGAGGUCCGGAGCUUGCUCCGGGUGCCUAGUGGCGAACGGGUGAGUAACGCGUGGGAAUCUGCCCUUAGGAGGAGGAUAACAGCUGGAAACGGUUGCUAAUACUCCAUAUGCCGAGAGGGUGAAAGGAUUUAUCCACCUAAGGAGGAGCUCGCGUCUGAUUAGCUAGUUGGUAGGGUAAUAGCCUACCAAGGCGAUGAUCAGUAGCUGGUUUGAGAGGAUGAUCAGCCACACUGGGACUGAGACACGGCCCAGACUCC